AUGUGGCUAUAUCACGUUGAAACAGCGAUUCUCAUACGAUCACUGAAGUUAAGCAGCGUCGAGCCGGUACAUAGAUGAGUAACCUCUUGGGAAUACCAGG